rnacentral:rRNA from 1 species
UACGUAGGGUGCGAGCGUUAAUCGGAAUUACUGGGCGUAAAGCGUGCGCAGGCGGUUAUGCAAGACAGAUGUGAAAUCCCCGGGCUCAACCUGGGAACUGCAUUUGUGACUGCAUGGCUGGAGUGCGGCAGAGGGGGAUGGAAUUCCGCGUGUAGCAGUGAAAUGCGUAGAUAUGCGGAGGAACACCGAUGGCGAAGGCAAUCCCCUGGGCCUGCACUGACGCUCAUGCACGAAAGCGU